UUCCCUGGUACCUUGUCUCUGUGUUGUGCAUUCAUGCUUUUUGCAUUAGGAUAUUUAAUAUUUUCUUUGUAUAUCUGACAACUGAUAUUUCAGAGACCUGCAGACAUUUGAAAGAACCCUACGAUUUAUUUCUCUUUUAAUGCAGAAACAGCCAAAGCAGCCUUGGACUCCUGAAUCAAGUAACACUACAGUACCUAUUUCUCCUGGGAGAGGUCAUGUUACUGGCUGCUUGGACAUGACACAGGUUGCUCCAGAAAGGCAAUGGCUGCUGAAAACUCUUCGGUCUGCAAAGCAGCAGAGGCUCUUCAGCUGAUUGAACACAGAGAUAAAGGAAUAACCAGAAGAAAGGCUGGCUGCUUUCAGCUCAACCACUGUUUUUGCAUCUAAAAGGGAAGAAAUGUAGAAGUGCAAGAUUCAACCUCAUUUUAAUAGGAGUCUCAUUAUGACUCCAGUGAACACCACAUGAUUUUAAUUGAGAAGUAUUAAUUGCUAUAAACUGGUAUUUCUAAUCCUUCCACUGUGGCUAAGAACUUGCCCUAAAUGUAAGAAUUUUGAAAAUGGAAUUUUUCAAAACUUCUGUACAGUAUUCUGUACAGAACAUCCAAAAUGGAAACAGGAAAAACGAAAAAAAAAAAAAAAGAAAAAAAAAGAAGUUUGAGUUGGAAUCUGGAUUCUAGUACUUUAGUAGUUUAUAUUAGAAAUUUUCUAAUGUAGCUUAAAUUUUCUCACAUGAAACCCGUAGAGAUAUGUGAAGGUCGCCAUGAAUCUUACUGGCUAGGUUGUGGUAAUCUGUACAGACAGUUUUGCUGGGUCUAAUGCAAUCAUAUCGCCAAUACACAUAUGGACUGAACAUCUGCCGAAUUAUCCAACUAACAGUAUCUCUCCUUCUCUCUCUUACAAAUCUAAGCGGUCUACUGGUUAAAACAAACUCUUUCCAUGCAGGAUUUCAGGAUUCUCCUGUUUCUAAUACUAACAGAGGUCUUAAUCUUACAGGAUGCUCUGUAUCAUCAAUUACUAUUCAACUGGGAUAAAGGGAAGGGGUGGAGGUGGAAAGUUAUGUGCAUGCAGCCUCUGCCAAAGAAACAAGAUAACUUCUCUAAAUGUUAUUUUUACUGCAGAAGUUGUAUGUAUUAUAAGUAGUUAGCUGAGUGACUAAACAGAACAUUUUCCUUGAAAAUCUUAAAGACCUCAAGUGAAGAGCUAGCUCCAACGGAAGUAGUUGCAAUUCAUAACUUCAAUCACAGCCUUGAAAAAAAUGAUUCCUUUUUAUAAUUGUAUGGUCUUCUCUCACGAGGCACCUGUUUGAAAACACAAAGCAGGCUGCUUUACUAUUUUUAUAGUUGUUAAACUGGUGUUGAACACAGUUGAUUUUAUCUGGGAGUAAUUCACAGAAAAAGCACCUUUCAUGAAGUGAGGUUGUCAUUUAGGGCUUCCUAAUCUUCAGUCUGUUGUCAUGGACAUGUACACAACUGUGCCGCUGGAAAUGAGAUAGAAAGCAAAACCUAACUACAAGAAAACCAUGUCACUGAAAAUUCUGCAAAUAAAUUUCGUGAGAAAGAUGAAGUCAGUUACAUACAAGUAGAAUGUGUUUUAAGAUUUUUCUCUGGGAAAUAAAUCUAAUUUUUUGAGGUG